rnacentral:rRNA from 1 species
AGCGGAGGAAAAGAAACUAACUAGGAUGCCCUUAGUAACGGCGAGCGAACCGGGCAAAGCCCAACUUGAAAAUCUCCAGCCUCCGGCUGGCGAAUUGUAGUCUAUAGAAGUGCUCUCUGCCUCAGUCCGGCCCCAAGUCCCCUGGAAAGGGGCGUCAGAGAGGGUGAGAACCCCGUUGGGACUGGAUCCUGAGGCUCCACGAGACGCUUUCGAAGAGUCGGGUUGUUUGGGAAUGCAGCCCAAAGCAGGUGGUAAAUCCCAUCUAAGGCUAAAUACAGACGGGAGACCGAUAGCGAACAAGUACCGUGAGGGAAAGAUGAAAAGAACUUUGAAAAGAGAGUUAAAAAGUGCUUGAAAUUGUUGAGAGGGAAGUGAUUAGAUCCUACGGGUGCGCCCAGGCACACGUCUGCCUAACGGUUGGCUGAAUGCGCUGGGUGCUGGUCAGCAUGGGUUGACCGGGCGGGACAAACCCGGGGGUUGUUACCUCGGCUAUGUCGCCUGGUCGAUCGAGGAAAGAAUGGCGCUCUCUGAGUCCUUCGGGAACUGCGUCAUCAAGAUGCUGGCGGAAAGGUUCUAAUCAGCCCGUCUUGAAACACGGACCAAGGAGUCUAACAUGCAUGCGAGCUGGUGGGUGGCAAACCCAUGAAGCGCAAGUAACCUGACUGGUGGGAUGGCCUGUGCCUGCACCAUCGACCGACCAUGAUCUUCUGUGAAAGGUUCGAGUACGAGCAUGCCUGUUGGGACCCGAAAGAUGGUGAACUAUGCCUGAGCAGGGCGAAGCCAGAGGAAACUCUGGUGGAGGCUCGUAGAUGUGCUGACGUGCAAAUCGCUUUUCGGACUUGGGUAUACGGGGCGAAAGACUAAUCGAACCUUCUAGUA